rnacentral:rRNA from 1 species
UACAGAGGGGGCAAGCGUUGUUCGGAAUUACUGGGCGUAAAGGGCGCGUAGGCGGCCUGCUAAGUCGAACGUGAAAUCCCCGGGCUCAACCCGGGAACUGCGUUCGAUACUGGUUGGCUUGAAUCCGGGAGAGGGAUGCGGAAUUCCAGGUGUAGCGGUGAAAUGCGUAGAUAUCUGGAGGAACACCGGUGGCGAAGGCGGCAUCCUGGACCGGCAUUGACGCUGAGGCGCGAAAGCCAGGGGAGCAAACGGGAUUAGAAACCCCCGUAGUCC